CCAGGUUGCACAGGUAGGUGUCCAGGAAGACGCUCAUGUAGCUGAUCAGGUCUUCUGCCAGAAUUCCAUCUUCCUACAUAACGGGGUUGGUUUUUUGCUGAGCUCUCACUCUUGGAACCUGAACUGCACAGAAUGUAGCACUCUCCAAGUCAAGACCCUCGUGCAUGAUGACAUCCGAAGACAGCCAUACUGUCCACAGACAGCUGCACUUGCACCCCAGCACACAGCGGCUGUAAAGGUGGGAGGUAUCAGAGGGAGAUGAGAGCAAAACUUUGCACUAAUGAAAGUACCACACCAACGUUAAUACCAGGCUGAUCGGGCAGAAUUUUGUUCUUUAUUGGUUAAUCCCCCAAAGCCCCGAACAAUCACGCACAGAACAGACUCUUUGGAAUGAGAGUCACAUAUUAACUUGAUGUUUAUAUUUUGCUCCGACUCCAGUUGAGUGAGCUUUUCUCCCCUCCCUCUCCCACUCGUUGCUUUGACCAGGGCUGUACAUAAAAGAAGAUCAGAAGCGAAGAUCGUAAUUCUUUGUUUUAAAUCAAAAAUCCUGAUGCAGGACUUGGGCUGCUCCCGCUGCCAGAAGGUAGAGCAGCCUGUCUGAACGGUGACUCAUGGCCCUGUGCCACAUCACAAAUAAUGCUCGUAUUAAUCUCUCCUUGCUUUGUUCUGGCCCCCCUCCUCCCGGUGUCUGAUUUCAUGGUGCGGCAUAGCCAAAGGUCAGAUAAACUACACGAUGGCCGGAGUUGCUACUGAAGAAAGAAAUCGGAAAUGCCUCUCCCAGCAUUUCCAGCAGCAGGAAUGGAGUGAAAAAUCGUUUCUUUUACUAUCAACCUGCCUGAUAUUUCAUCUCUGGUUACUGUUUCAGUACAGAAAGCUGUGGUACAGACAAGGGGAAGUGGCCGAGCCCAGCUCUGCUAGAAACGUUUCUGGGUCUGCCUGGCCUGGUACAUUUUUUCCACAGAACGAUCUUUCUUCAGGCGUUUGAUCAUGUGCAACAAAUGACGGUCCCAGGCUGAAAGAGGCGCCGAGCUUUGCCUCUGCGCUGAUGUUACCGACUGAUUCAUUAAUUACCCGCUUCUCCCCAGGUUUGAUUCAACGUGCUGUUCACAAAAAGAUAACUAGUCGCAAAUUAGUCAAGCUGAAGUUCCAUGUGCUUUGCUACAGGGCAAAUGUUUUAGCUACCAGUUUCAGAUGACUGAUUGCUCCUGUGAAACUCGCAAGCGCUUCUUGCGUGUUGUUUCUUUUCCUCCAUGGCUACCCAAAGUGUUUUUAUUCAAAUGAGGAGGAGCACAUAGGCACCGGGCUGGAGCACUCUGCCAGCAGUUAGUGUGAGCGGAUCAAGUGUGAGCUCUUACUGUAAAGGUUGCGUGGUUUUCCUCGCUCUCCUUUGAAGCAGGAGGGCCUGUGGCUUCUGAUGACAGCUGUCUCUGUGCUGCAGGCGCUGGGUAGUGCUGACACGUAGAGGACUUAUCUGGAAGAAAGGGAGAGGGGCAGAAGACAAAAAUCACUUCCUGUAAGCAGGCUUGUCUUUUUCUGUCAAAUGGCAGGAACCUGUCAAAGCUCUUUCCCAGAGAAACUCCCUGGGUUGUAUUUGAGUGACUGCAGGGGCAAGAGAAGCUGCCUGUGGUUAGCAAGAUGCGGGAAGCAGUGGGUUCGUUCCGCAAAGGCUUCACAAAGCCAUGGGCAGGCAUUUCAGCUGCAGCUGCAUGUUAUGACCUUCAAACCCACAUGUGAACAAGCUGACAGCACGUGGGGCUUUGUCUUGCAGCAGGGCUCUUGCUGCCCAUGAAGAUGUCAGGCUGCUGGUGGCCGGACUGGGCAGUGUCUUGAUUGUUCCAAGUUAUGGCUCAAAGCACACAGAAGAGCAGGGAAGGAUCUAAGCAGUCCAUGUUCAGUUUGGCCUUUGUGACAGGCAGUGCCAGCCAAGGCUCUGCGAUGAGCAGAUCUGGGGCUUGUCCAUCUGCUGACCACUCUCAAGCUCUCACUGUCCUCGAGCUCACCAUCCCUUGUCCCACAGCCAGCAUCUGCCCCAGUGCUCACUCUGGGCAGUCUCCUAUUAACUCUGGAAGGUGGAAAAAACC
ensembl:lncRNA